UGCUUACCCAUGCUCUGGACCAUAGUUUGGGACUACGAGUUUGGCAUAUGGAGCUAGAUGGACCAAUUGGGCUGGCUCAGUAUGAGGCACCCUCUUAUGUUCCUGUGCUUCUACUUAUGUAAGUGCCUGGAAUGCUAAUUGUAUUUUAUUAUAUUUUAUGAAGCGCCCCAGCUGGGUGUGGGGAACAGUUUUACGACUGUUAAUAUUAUUGCUCCGAUUCUCAUGUUACUGUUGGGGAGAGACUAAGGUGAGGCCCGGCAGUUUUCUACUUUUUUAAAAAAAAGAGAGCAGAAUCUGGUUUUGAACAUUUUUAUUCAUGUUUGGCCACAAACCUUCAAAUCUCAGUUGCAAUGCUCGGCGGAGUGGGCCCUCAUAGAAAGAGGGUCCUGGAGAUCCCACUAGACCAGGGUUGUGGAAGCUUUUUCCAUCCAAGAGCCACUGCUCUCCACAUGCAAGUUCCCUAUUCCCCUUACAGAACUAAAGCUCCCAUCCGCCCAGCCAGCUUGGCCUGUUUGGCUUAACAGUCAAUCCCUCCUCCCAGGGAAUUCUGGGAGCUUGAGUUCCACAACUUGAGGAGGUGGCUUGGGGGCUCGGAUUCUCUGCUGUGGCUUUAAUUAGAUGGUUUUUCUUUGCUUAAAGAAAAAGUGUAUAUGAUUAAUUCUUGUUUUCCUCUUGAGUUAGCUCAAAGAAGUUCGGAAAUUUCAACAGGGCUUUGUUUUUUUAAACAAGCAGUUGCUUUUAGGAACCUGAAACACAGACGAGAUUUUCAGGGUUGGGAUUUGUAUGGGAAAAUUUAUUACCAAAAUAAAGCAGAAUAAGCAAGGAAGGCGGCACAGAGGCCGCAAUGACUAACUUGUGAAAUUCCUGGGAGGGAGGGAAGGAAAGCAGGUUCACAUAGAUCCCAGGCGUGCAAAAUUGCAAUAAACCACACAUUGUAAAUGAUUUUGCAAAACGAUAACACAAAAUGAUGUGCGCAGAAGAACAUCGGUGGAGCUUUGCAGGAGAGGAUGAUGCAAUGAACAGAGAUCCACAGAAAUCAAGGGCUCCCACAGUUGCUGGGUGAGAGGAAAGGGGCUCAGUGGUUAGAGCUUCUGGUUUGUAUUCAGAAAGUCUCAGGUUCAGUCCCAACCAUGUGAGACUGAAAUCCUGUCUGAAACCUAGGAGAACUGCUGCCAGUCCAGUGUGCUCUGAGUCUGUUAAAUCCAGGGACCAUAGCUGAUUCUGCCCUGGGGCUCUGUGUUGUUGUUGUUGUUUGCUGCAAAAUCUAUGAUAUUGUUUUUUACCCAGGAUGUUGCCCGACUUUGGAAUCGACUCCUUAAGGAGGCUUGGCCAUCUUUGACAAAGUGAUCUUCCUUGGGUUCCUUCGUGAAGGUGGCUGUUACGCAAAGAUACCCCAUGAGGAAUAGCAGGAGCUCUUUAAGCAAAUAAUGAAAAGGAGCUGCCUCAGGUCCUCUUUGCAGGAUUGGAGAAGCGUAUCACAAAAUUUGGAGAAGCAUGAAUUUUGGAGGACAGGUGGAUUUUGGUCCGUGUACCAUUUCAGAAGUGUGGAUUUGGAAGAUUCACGUUCAGUUGUGAACCACACCAGAUAUUUCCCCCCUCCUUACAACAACGUCGCUCCUUAAGCAGUACACUAGCUCAGACUUCACCAGUGCUACCAAACACAUAUUUUCCCUCCUUCUGCUAAAAACUAAACAGUCACUUCAAGUCAGUUUGUUCUCUGAAGCUUUUAAAAGAGACGUCAGCUAUGCUUAGUGUGAAGUUGGGGCUGAAGUAAAAGCUGGAUAUGUGCCCAGUCUAGUCAGAUGGAAAUUACAUUGCACAGGACCUAAAUGUCAUCUUCCUCAGCCCCUUUUACAGCCGGAACUGUGUUAACUCCCUUUUAUCCCCCUGUGUUGCAUCUUCAUUUUCCUACAGAUAUGACCGUACUUCCCUUCAGAUAUGAUAAAUCAUCUCUGGUAGCACCACAAUCUAGGGCACAGUGAGCGAUCAUCUGGAAUUUCAGAUGACACUUAAAAGUAUAAUAACAAGUAAACAAAGCCCAGGAGGAAUAUGUGUCUUGAAAUGUGCAGUUCAUGUUAGUAGCGCGAAGUAAUUAACAAGCUGAAACAGCAAGAGAGGAGCUGGGCGGCUUCUAGUUCUUCAGAAGAUGCCAAAAAUGAAAAUGGGCCGGGUACUCAGACCAUGGGAACCACUGGGAUAAGGUCAGCCCAUGACCUGUGUUUAUUAUACCCUAAGCACUGGCAUUUGUUUGAGGUUGUAUUCAGAUCAGAGGUUCUCACAUGAAGGCCUGCCAACCACUGGUGGCCCAUGAGUGUGAGCCACACCUUCUAUUGAAAGACUGCAAAAUAG